rnacentral:rRNA from 1 species
CAGUAGCCGCGGUAAUACGUAGGUGGCAAGCGUUGUCCGGAAUUAUUGGGCGUAAAGGGCUCGCAGGCGGUUUCUUAAGUCUGAUGUGAAAGCCCCCGGCUCAACCAGGGAGGGUCAUUGGAAACUGGGAAACUUGAGUGCAGAAGAGGAGAGUGGAAUUCCACGUGUAGCGGUGAAAUGCGUAGAGAUGUGGAGGAACACCAGUGGCGAAGGCGACUCUCUGGUCUGUAACUGACGCUGAGGAGCGAAAGCGUGGGGAGCGAACAGGAUUAGAUACCCCUGUAGUCCCUGUCUCUUAUAC